GCUCAGAUUGAACGCUGCGGCAUGCUUACACAUGCAGUCGAACGGUACCGGGAGCUGCUCCGCUGACGAGUGGCGAACGGGUGAGUAAUAUAUCGGAACGUACCUUUGAGUGGGGGAUAACUAGUCGAAAGAUUAGCUAAUACCGCAUACGAUCUACGGAUGAAGUGGGGGAUCGCAGACCUCAUGCUCAUAGAGCGGCCGAUAUCUGAUUAGCUAGUUGGUGAGGUAAAGGCUCACCAAGGCAUCGAUCAGUAGCUGGUCUGAGAGGACGACCAGCCACACCUGGGACUGAGACACGGCCCAGACUCCUACGGGAGGCAGCAGUGGGGAAUUUUGGACAAUGGGGGCAACCCCUGAUCCAGCAAUGCCGCGUGAGUGAAGAAGGCCUUCGGGUUGUAAAGCUCUUUUGUCAGGGAAGAAACGGGAGUCCUAAUACGAGUCCUAAUGACGGUACUGCAAGAAUAAGCACNCCG
rnacentral:rRNA from 1 species